rnacentral:snRNA from 1 species
AUCGCUUCUCGGCCUUUUGGCUAAGAUCAAGUGUAGUAUCUGUUCUUAUCAGUUUAAAAACAUUUUUCACGCCUGGUAUUUAAAACAAAACAACAACAAAAGGCCAGGCUGUGCUGAACCAAU